ensembl:lncRNA
UGGAUGGCCUGGGGACACUGGCUAGAGCCAGAUGGACACAGCCAAGACCCCCCCAAAAGGAUGAAAUUUCCACAGGGCAGGAAGGAGAAGUGAGCCAGCCCUCUCCAGGCUGGUCCCAAUGCAUGAACUUAAGACACAAGGAAGGAAAGAAGGAAGGAAGGAAAGAAGGAAGGAAGGAAGGGAAUAUAUAUAAAGGUCAUCAGACCACGCAGGAAGGUGACACCCAGGCACUCGCUGUGGAAAUAGAAGGGAACUAAGUCUGCACUCAAACUUGAAAGGCAGUGACAAGUUGUUCAGCUUUUCCACUGGGAAAGGAUAAAUAAAUGCUGGCAUUGCAAAUACCAAAGAGCUUAAGUAAAGUUCAGUUUUUGAUUGACCAGAUGACCAUAAAUGUUUGAAUCCUUCGUCUCUUAGAAACUACGCAA